rnacentral:tRNA from 6 species
CGGGGCGUAGCGCAGUCUGGUAGCGCACUUGUAUGGGGUGCAAGGGGUCGUGAGUUCGAAUCUCACCGUUCCGACCA